rnacentral:rRNA from 1 species
CCCUUCGGGGGCGAGUACAGCGGCGGACGGGUGAGUAACACGUGAGCGAUCCACCCCGAGGCGGGGGGCAACCCAGGGAAACCUGGGCUAAUACCGCAUACAGCGGCAGGCAUGGAAGCCUGUCGUGAAAGCUGGCCUCUCCAUGGAAGCUAGCGCCUCUGGACGAGCUCGCGGCCUAUCAGCUGGUUGGUGAGGUAACGGCUCACCAAGGCGAUGACGGGUAGCUGGCGUGAGAGCGCGAUCAGCCACACUGGGACUGAGACACGGCCCAGACUCCUACGGGAGGCAGCAGUGGGGAAUCUUGCGCAAUGGGCGAAAGCCUGACGCAGCGACGCCGCGUGGGGGAGGAAGGCCCUAGGGUUGUAAACCCCUUUCAGGUGGGACGAACCGGGGAUCGGCGAAAGCCGGUUCCUCUGACGGUACCACCAGAGGAAGCUCCGGCUAACUCCGUGCCAGCAGCCGCGGUAAAACGGAGGGAGCAAGCGUUGUUCGGAAUUACUGGGCGUAAAGGGCGCGUAGGCGGCCCUGUAAGUCGCAUGUGAAAGGCCGGGGCUCAACCCCGAGUAUUGCAUGCGAUACUGCAAGGCUAGAGACAGGUAGGGGCGAGCGGAAUUCCCGGUGUAGCGGUGGAAUGCGUAGAUAUCGGGAAGAACACCGGUGGCGAAGGCGGCUCGCUGGGCCUGUUCUGACGCUGAAGCGCGAAAGCGUGGGGAGCGAACAGGA